rnacentral:rRNA from 1 species
CGCAUCUGUGCAUGCAGCAUAUCAAUAAGCGGAGGAAAAGAAACUAACAAGGAUUCCCCUAGUAACGGCGAGUGAAGCGGGAAGAGCUCAAAUUUGAAAUCUUAAAGGGUUUCCCUUUACGAAUUGUAGUUUAGAGAAGUGUUUUCUGUUGAGGUUUUGGUAAAAGUUCUUUGGAAUAGGACAUCAUAGAGGGUGAGAAUCCCGUAUUUGACCUUUACUUUCAACUUUGUGAUACACUUUCAAAGAGUCGGAUUGUUUGGGAAUGCAGUCCAAAAUGGGUGGUAAAUUUCAUCUAAAGCUAAAUAUUGGCGAGAGACCGAUAGCGAACAAGUACCGUGAGGGAAAGAUGAAAAGGACUUUGAAAAGAGAGUUAAACAGUACGUGAAAUUGUCAAAAGGGAAGCGUUUGACACCAGUGUUGUUUUUCUGAAAAUCAAUUAAAGAACUGUUUAUGCUAAGUUGUUUAGACUUUAUCAGCUAACUGUUUAGUUUUGAGCUUUUCUUUAAUGCACUUUUCAGUUAACAAGUCAACAUCAAUUUCUUUUGCUGUAAAAAAGCUUGAGGAAGGUGGCUUGAGAUUCGUCUUAAGUGUUUAUAGCCUCUUGCCUAUGCAGUCGGAGAGAUUGAGGUCUGCAGCGUAGAUCCUUCGGGGCUAAAUGCAUUUGUGCUAAGUUAUAACAUUUUAUAGACAACUUGUUGACUAUGAUUUGUCUUGUAGCUUACUCGCUUAUGUUAUUUUACCUACGCUUAGGAUGUUGAACGCGCACAGAGUCUC